rnacentral:rRNA from 1 species
UGGGGAAUUUUGGACAAUGGGGGCAACCCUGAUCCAGCAAUGCCGCGUGUGUGAAGAAGGCGUUCGGGGUGUAAAGCACUUUUGUCCGGGAAGAAAUCGCACCUGAUAAUACCGGGUGUGGAUGACGGUACCGGAAGAAUAAGGACCGGCUAACUACGUGCCAGCAGCCGCGGUAAUACGUAGGGUCCAAGCGUUAAUCGGAAUUACUGGGCGUAAAGCGUGCGCAGGCGGUUGUGCAAGACCGAUGUGAAAUCCCCGGGCUUAACCUGGGAAUUGCAUUGGUGACUGGACGGCUAGAGUGUGUCAGAGGGGGGUAGAAUUCCACGUGUAGCAGUGAAAUGCGUAGAGAUGUGGAGGAAUACCGAUGGCGAAGGCAGACCCCUGGGAUAACACUGACGCUCAUGCACGAAAGCGUGGGGAGCAAACAGG